UGAGUUUUAAACAUUAGAGCGAUUCCUUAUAUCCCAAGUUCUCUCUACUAAGUUAAAUUACUUGGCAGGAAAAAUGGGAAGGUGCCCAUUUGGACCAAGCAUCCGAAUCUUCCAUUAAGAUCUUGGCAUGGGACUAUUAAAUGGAUUGCAAUACUCUAGGUAUGUCCCUUCUAACCUGUCUGUUGGUGGAGCUCUUAAACAAUGUGAAAGCUCCCCUGACGCCUACUUAUCUUCCUUGGAGUUUAAUAACUUUGCAUGUUAAAUAGAAUCACACAGAAGCCUGUAGACUGAACCCUAGUCAUUGGAUGACUUAGGGCCAAGAGAGUCCAGAGCUUUCCCCUCUAACAACUUGGUUGACAGUGAUAUCAUAGGUAGAAGUCCUAGAUGGGCCAACAUGCUUCAGCCUUCUGGCUUAGACCCUGACUGACAGGGAAGUGAGGAUCAGUCAGUUUUCUCUGCCGGUACCUAGUAUGACAAGAUUCUCUCUGCCUAGACUGCCUAGCCCCUUCCCUUUCUGGCUUCCCUCCUGAGUUCUUCAGUAAGUACUCUGAAAGAAUACCAGUUAUGGGAUCAGGGGCAAAGAGAGAAGGAAACCUCUUAUCUUGUUAAUAAGACAUGAUUGCCCCCACACUAAUUAAUAUAACCCUUAAAGGAAGAUCUAGUUCUGCGACAGACUCUGCCUUACCGCCUCACGUUUCAAGUAUGUUACUGAAAAGAGAAGUGUGUGUAGCGGACUGGCCAUGAUGUUGGAACUGUAGCUUGACAUUCUUCCUCCAGCAGCACUCCUCACAGAGGCCUCCCCCAGAGAAAAACGGCUCUAUGCCCUUGGGCAGUGAUGAACUUGCCUAUGAGCCAGUUGUUGUAGCAUAAGAGGCAGGAGCCCUAAAUGGUUCCCCCUCUUGGCCAGAAGUCAGGGAAGCCCCUCCGUGUGUCACCAGCACAUGUCAGAUGGCCUUGAUAUACUGGCUCUUUCAAUGCCGGUGCUGCCUUUAGUAAUUGAGUGAGGCAAGGCAAGGGUGGCUUACUAUUUUUAGAAGGAACUGUUUGAAAUCUCCAGGUGCAGUCUGGGUAACGAGAGAGCAUUGAGGAGGGGUGUCCAGAAGCAGAGGCAGAUCAUUCCAAACACCUGUUGGUGGUGGUGGUUUUCCAGCCAGGGGUAAGCAGGUUUAGUCUAAUCAGUUUGUUUAUGUCUGUCUCAUCAACAGCCUGUUUGGAUCAGAGCUUAGAGAUCCGUAUUCACAGACCUGGGGAACAAAGUGUUCUUUCUUUGUCAUCUUCUUGAAUCAUUAAGUGACUGCAACAUAGUGUUCUGGAUUAGUGGGCAUUUGGGAAAGAUUAAAGUAGGACAUUAACCUGUGUGGCUUUGUUCCCCGCAGGGGACUGGGUACCUACCUCAGCAGAGCCUUCUGUUCUGAUCUGCAGUCUUCCUUUACUUGUAGGAGGGCUCUGUAACAAAGACCACACGGUGACCCUUUCAGCGCUUGAGUAUCACAGAGAGAUAUCCAGCACAACAUGAACCCCCUCUUCCUUUGUUCCAUCUCUGUUUCUAGAGAAUCCAGGGCUUCCCACCCACCAAAGCACAUGCAGGGGGAUUCACUAGAGAAAUUACAGAUUGGAAUGUUUUUCUUAAAACCCAUGUUUGUUCAUAAGCAUGAUGAUGUGUUAAGUAUAACUCAGAGGGAUCAUGUGAAAAUCUCCAAAUGGCUCUUUUGACUUUGCACAUUCCCUAAAGAUCUGUGACUGUGACUGUUGCAGUCCAAGUACCCCUUCACCCUCGUGACGUCUCUCUCCUCUUCCCUCCUGACUGUUAAUGGGCACUUUUCUUUUCAGUGUUAAGCAUCUCCUGUGUUGGAGGCACAGCUGGCUGGGACAGGUUCUGUCAUACCUGUCCUCCAUCAGCCCCGCCCAGGGCUCCUGUCCUCCAGGGACUUCAAUCUGGAGAGGAAAUAUCCAAAUCUAAUAAGACACUUUUUAGGAAAGCAUACUGGGAUGAAGGGAGGACACAGAGGGACUGUCACUCCUGGAGGUCACAUAGUGUCUUCCUGAGGAAAUGACUUUCUAAGUGGGUCACAGGGUGCAGAUAAGAGAACAGGAAAGAGCCUGAGUGGAUUUCUUACAAUUGUAAUAAAUGGCUGUAUACUUGCUGUUAACCUAAUAGCCAUUUGCUCAUAGCAGUGAGGGGCAGAAGUCAGGGAACUGAAGUCAAGGUGUGAGCUCUCAGGGAGAGGCUGUCCCUAUAUCUUCUGCUUUCGCAAACUGUGACCCUGGCAUUCCAUGAACCCUAACCUCUGUUGCAUCCUCUUAGAUGGCACAAACCCUCUCACUCCUUUGUGUAGUAGCUUUGUGUAGUUAUUGUGCCCUGGCUUCUCUUGACUCCUUUACAGUGACACUAUGACAACCUCUUAGAUGAUCCAGACAAACCCCACCUCAAGAUGUAUAAGAGGAGUUCCAGGGAGUGUGUAUGGAAUACCUUUAGGGGCCUCUAUGUUUACUUCUUCACUGUGCCUGGAGACUGCUGUCUGAAGGUCCAGAGAGGCUCAAGAGAGUAGCGUCUCUGAGCUAGGACAGCACCUGGACCUGGGAGCUGGACAGGGUGCUGGGGAUUGGCAGGGCUAUGCAUCCCAUAGAAAAGCCUUGAGGAGUACUUACAAGAGAGUGCUGAGGGGGUUGAAGAAUCCAAGGACACCAUCAGGUUUGGAUUGCAUGUGUGGAUCUCCAUUUCCUUGGAACAGAACGCAUGCUGAGAAUGAGGUAGAAGGCUACCACUGAUUUCUGAGGAAAAGAUUGACACUUGCAUUGCUGCCGUGGGUGUGAGGCCCUGAGUGGUUUUCAGCUAUCCUCCGUCCUGAACCUGGGUCCUUUUGUAGAAUGGUUGGCAGUGGGUUUCAAUAUGAGAGUGCCUGGAAGAUAUCUCUGGGUGCCUUUGUCCAGGAAGCUGUUCUCUUUGGACAUAGGUACCCUUUACGAAAGAUCCAAGGCAAACAAAACAUCCAACAUCACAAAGAGCUUUUCACAGUGAAACAUCAGC
rnacentral:lncRNA from 1 species